rnacentral:ncRNA from 1 species
UAUAAGCUAUUGAAUGAGAGUAGUAAUAAAGUCAAACUCAUUACAGGAAGCCGACGAAACUGAGAGUUCGGUAUGCAGUGAUUUUAUGAAUGGACUCAGGAGGCGCAACCCAAAACGUUGUACGGAGUAGGCGUUGCCGGAACUUUCACCGUUAAAAGAAAGCACGUAUCGAUAAUUCUGUACGUAGAGCUGGGCUUUAGCCAAAUUGGGUGGUACCGCGGAAUAAACUUUCGUCCCUUUA